UUGGCAACAUUAUUCUGAGAAUUUAUUCAAGUUUGAAAUAGAAAAGGAAGUUUAUGCUCUUAAGUCAAUGAACUGUCCUGGACAUUGUUUGAUGUUCGAUCAUCGCCCUUGCCUUGGCGUGUUAUCAUUGCGUAUGGCUGAUUUUGGCGUGUUACAUCGAAGCAAGUUAUUUCAGCCAUUAAAAAAUUAGCUCAUUGAAAUCAACCAAUGAAAUCGAUCGGACCACCAAAUGAUCUUAAUAAACGUCAAUCACUUUACACAACGGUAGAUGCCCUCAAGACUCGAAAGUGAAA